UACGGGGGGAGCAAGCGUUGUUCGGAUUUACUGGGCGUAAAGGGCGCGUAGGCGGCCAGCACAAGUCAGUUGUGAAAUCUCCGAGCUUAACUCGGAAAGGUCAACUGAUACUGUGCGGCUAGAGUGCGGAAGGGGCAACUGGAAUUCUUGGUGUAGCGGUGAAAUGCGUAGAUAUCAAGAGGAACACCUGCGGCGAAGGCGGGUUGCUGGGCCGACACUGACGCUGAGGCGCGAAAGCUAGGGGAGCAAAUGGG
rnacentral:rRNA from 1 species